GUUCGGUUCGUCGUCGCCGGUGCGCGUCGGCGGAUCGUCGUAAGAGGGAAUCCGGUGCGAGUCCGGAGCUGUCCCGCAGCGGUCAAUGGGAACGAGGCUGCGUCGAGUGCACUGGGCUCUUGGGUCCGGGAAGCAGCGGUCGAGGAAGCCGGGGUGAUCCGGAGUGCCCAUGAGCCCGAAGACCUGCCGGCCCGGCGGUGUCCGCC
rnacentral:ncRNA from 21 species